AGACAACCAAACUCCAUCAAUCAAAAGAAACUUAAUCCAGGGAGGCAUGUAGAAAGGCUUAUUUACAUCAUUAGGUUUCCAGUGCUGUAUAUAUACACGUGGGUACACACAUGUGUAAUAUACCAUAAGGCAGCAUAGCUGAUCACGGACCUUAAGGGUUCUUCUGCUCACUGGGUCAGAAGCAUCCAAUUACCUGUCGUCAGUUGCAGUUCAGCCAUGUUAAUACUAAAAGUAUAAGAAUAUCAUAGUCCCAGAGUGAUGUAAAGACCUUUCCAAGGAAGAUGAGAUACCCGGAGGCUGUGAAGGGGAAGUCUGAAGGAUUUGACCACGUUAAAAUGAAAAGCUUCGGUUAGCAAAACACCAGAAACAAAUUCAAAAGAUAAAAUACACUCUGGAGAAGCCCAUUCUCUCAACACAUCUGACAGUUCACAAGCAGCAAUUGCAGUCCAGCUUAAAAAUGAAGAAAAUGGUAGGAAAAUAGGCAAUGUGCACUGAGGCAAUAUAUAAGAAGAAACAGGAAUGCCCAAUUAACCAACAAAAGCCUGCUCAAUCCUAACAAGUGAAGAUAAAAGCUUAGUAAAGAUGAAAAUUUAUUGAAGAUAAAAAUGGAUACUCUGGCCAUAUAUAAAAGCAUUGUUGGUAAGAGAGUGGGGUAAUUGACAUGCUCCUGGUACAUAAUAGGCAUUCAAAAACUUCUAAUGAGUGAAUACACUGGGGGUAUCCACCAGCAAUAGUAAAAAAACCCCAUCAGUGCCUGAGUUUGUGGUCCAGAGUUUGAGCAGUGGUCUAACAAGACACAGGCUCUUCCUGUGUCACGGGCUCCACCUCUUAAGCAAAGAAGCAUGCCUUAUUUUGGUAACUCAUCCAAAUAGCAGAACUUUUUUUAUUAUUAUUAAUCUUAUAGCAUUUAUUUGGUUAAGUCUGAGGCAGAACGUUUUUCUCCUUUGUAGCAUCUUUGUUUUGUUUUGUUUUAAUCCUUGACGUUUAUUACCAAAUUACAUCUUGGUGAUUUUUCAGGAUCUGGAUAGGCCUUUCUAUUCUCAAUUAAGUCUUUCUUUCCUUUAAUUCAGGAAUCUUUUAAUCAUGUCUUAAUUUAUUUUUCUGUCAUCCCUCCCCAUGCCAUAAGCUACCAGUCACUGUACAUGUUGGAGCUCUCUUUAUUGUGGCAUAGAUCUCUAAUGUCAUAUCUUUAGUCAUUAUUUUUUAUCAGAGAUUUCUGUUCUUCCAGGGACAUCUGGCAAUGUCUAGAGACACGCUACUGGCACCUAUAGAAAUGCUAGUGGCUUCAAAUGGGUAGAGGCUAAAGAUGCUGCUAAACAUCCUGAAAUGCCCAGGACAGCCACGGCCACAACAAAGAAUUAUUCAGUCCAAAAAUGUCCAUAGUGCUAAGGAGGAGAAAUCCUGUCCUAGGGUCAAGGCUGGAUGCUGAUAAGGCUAAUUUCAAGUGAUUUCAAAUGAUUGUGGGGAAAGUACCCAGAACUUGACAGAAGCAUUAUGCAGAUACUUCCUCUUGUAAAUCAUAUUUCCCUAAUGCUAAUGCUGGAGCAUUUGGAAGUAUGUGUAUAAAUAUUUGAAGUACAAAACCAGAGAGAUGCCCUUAUGUAUUUAGCUUCUAGUUUUAAAUAAUAGAUACUACAAUAAACCUUUAUUA